ensembl:lncRNA
CACACACAUCUACAUACAGGAUCAGGUUGAAAUAGAUAAAACAAUGGUGUAUGUACAUGUUUUGGUUUUCUCCACUUAUGAGUCACUCAGUUCAAUAUCAAUCUGUCAUGCUAAAAAAGGGCUGAGUUGCAAAAUCGUACAGGAAAUAUGGUGCAUCACAAUAUCACUUUACAGCAUCGCAUGUGUAAUGGCUUGAACAUUGCUUCAAGUGGUCCAGAGAGAUCACUCUCAGCCAGGGGAGUAGCCAGGAGUUAAUUUCAAGAGGCGGGUGGAAAUGUACUAUACAACAUUAUAUUGUGAAAUGUGACAUGCUCAUGCUUUUUGGGUGGAUGCCGGACAGUAGGAGUAGGGGAAGCAUGCAUGAUUCUGAUUGGUUAAAUCUGGUGCUCGCAAUAGCAUUAAAAUGUUAAUAAACAAACUCAGGCUAUUUGAGUAUGAAAUUGUAAUGGAAUCUUUUAUGAACAUCAUUACAUACAACAUAACUUGAUGCGUAUAUAUAUUCAGUUAUAAGCACCCACAAGUAAGCAUUUGGAACUGAUAUAAAAUAUUUCAGGGGGGUUCAAACCCAAAAUCCAGCCCUCUAGCGACGCCUCAGCUCUCAGUCAACAUCAGUUUAUUAAAAGCACUGCUUUCUCUCUUUUAUACCUGUUUUUUCUUAACAAAAGGAGGCUUAGGCUACUUAUGCAUGUGAUUUGUGAGAUCAAAUCGUAGCCAGGUGUCUGAAAGAGAGCAUUACUGUCCGGCUCGCUGUGUGGGAACGACAGCCUUUCUCCCUCGACCUGUCAAUCAGUGUGACAUGAGGAAACUUGUUCAACUUCACCCUCUCUGAAUGGUAGCUGUGAGACUGGCUAUGACUGAACUGGAGAAGAAAAUUCCCGUUUUUCCAGUUCCCGUUAUUCAUGUUCCUGUUUUACAUGUUAUAGAACAGAGAUUGAUUAAUGGCACAUGUCAUUACGUCCCCACACCACGCCAUCCGACGUUCCCUCCAGAAUUUCGAAAUACAGUUCGUCUUCGUUAUGGUACCGUAUACAGUUUUGGGUGUUUUUUAUUUAAAAUUUUACAAAAGCUUCAAGUGCAGUUAAUUAUUUGUCAUGCUAUACGUGCAAUUGGACGACUGCUUGAAGCCGUGGGCUGCGUCCAAAACCACGUACUUACCUGCUAUAUAGUAGCUGAGAUACAUGUAUUUCACCUACUAUAUGCAUGUAUUUCACCUACUAUUUAGUAGGUGAAAUACUUGUAUAUAGUAGGUGAAAUACUUGUAUAUAGCAGGUGAAAUACAUGUAUAUAGUAGGUGAAAUACAAGUUUUUUGGCUACGAUAUAGUAGGUGAAAUACUUGUAUAUAGUAGAAUAAGUGUAUAUAGUAGGUAAAAUACAUGAAUAUAGUAGGUGAAAUACAUGUAUAUAGUAGGUGAAAUACAUGUAAGUAGUAGGUGAAAUACAUGUAUAUAGUAGAAUACGUGUAUAUAGUAGGUGAAAUACACAUGUUUUGGCUACUAUAUAGUAGGUGAAAUACAUGUAUGUAGUACAAUACGUGUAUAUAGUAGGUGAAAUACUUGUACAUAGUAGGUGAAAUACAUGUAUAUAGUAGAAUACGUGUAUAUAGUUGGUGAAAUACUUGUAUAUAUUAGGUGAAAUACACGUAUUUCGGCUACAAUAUAGUAGAUGAAAUACAUGUAUAUGGUAGAAUACAUGUAUAUAGUAGGUGAAAUACAUGUAUAUAGUAGAAUACGUGUAUAUAGUAGGUGAAAGACAUGUAUAUAGUAGGUGAAAUACGUGUAUAUAGUUGGUGAAAUACUUGUAUAUAUUAGGUGAAAUACACGUAUUUCGGCUACAAUAUAGUAGGUGAAAUACAUGUAUAUGGUAGAAUACAUGUAUAUAGUAGGUGAAAUACAUGUAUACAGUAGGUGAAAUACAUGUAUAUAGUGGAAUACGUGUAUAUAGUAGGUGAAAUACACGUUUUUUGGUUACGAUAUAGUAGGUGAAAUACAUGUAUAUAGUAGAAUAUGUGUAUAUAGUAGGUGAAAGACAUGUAUAUAGUAGGUGAAAUACACGUAUUUCGGCUACGAUAUAGUAGGUGAAAUACAUGUAUAUAGUAGAAUACAUGUAUAUAGUAGGUACAAUACAUGUAUAUAGUAGAAUAUGUGUAUAUAGUAGGUACAAUACAUGUAUAUAGUAGAAUAUGUGUAUAUAGUAGGUGAAAGACAUGUAUAUAGUAGGUGAAAUACACGUAUUUCGGCUACGAUAUAGUAGGUGAAAUACAUGUAUAUAGUAGAAUACAUAUAUAUAGUAGGUAAAAUACAUGUAUAUAGUAGAAUACGUGUAUAUAGUAGGUACAAUACAUGUAUAUAGUAGAAUACGUGUAUAUAGUAGGUGAAAUACAUGUAUUUCGGCUACGAUAUAGUAGAUGAAAUACAUGUAUAUGGUAGAAUACAUGUAUAUAGUAGGUGAAAUACAUGUAUAUAGUAGAAUACGUGUAUAUAGUAGGUGAAAUACAUGUAUAUAGUAGGUGAAACACACGUAUUUCAGCUACGAUAUAGUAGGUGAAAUACAUGUAUAUGGUAGAAUAUAUGUAUAUAGUAGGUGAAAUACAUGUAUACAGUAGGUGAAAUACAUGUAUAUAGUAGGUGAAAUACACGUUUUUUGGUUACGAUAUAGUAGGUGAAAUACAUGUAUAUAGUAGAAUACGUGUAUAUAGUAGGUGAAAGACAUGUAUAUAGUAGGUGAAAUACGUGUAUAUAGUUGGUGAAAUACUUGUAUAUAUUAGGUGAAAUACACGUAUUUCGGCUACAAUAUAGUAGGUGAAAUACAUGUAUAUAGUAGGUGAAAUACACGUAUAUAGUAGAAUACAUGUAUAUAGUAGGUGAAAUACAUGUAUAUAGUAGAAUACGUGUAUAUAGUAGGUGAAAUACAUGUAUAUAGUAGGUGAAAUACACGUAUUUCGGCUACGAUAUAGUAGGUGAAAUACAUGUAUAUAGUAGAAUACAUGUAUAUAGUAGGUAAAAUACAUGUAUAUAGUGGAAUACGUGUAUAUAGUAGGUGAAAUACAUGUAUAUAGUAGGUGAAACACACGUAUUUCGGCUACGAUAUAGUAGGUGAAAUACAUGUAUAUGGUAGAAUACAUGUAUAUAGUAGGUAAAAUACAUGUAUAUAGUAGAAUACGUGUAUAUAGUAGAAUACGUGUAUAUAGUAGGUGAAAGACAUGUAUAUAGCAGGUGAAAUACAUGUAUAUAGUAGGUGAAAUACACGUAUUUCGGCUACGAUAUAGUAGGUGAAAUACAUGUAUAUAGUAGAAUACAUGUAUAUAGUAGGUGAAAUAUAUGUAAGCAAUGGGUGAAAUACAUGCAUAUAGUAGGUGAAACACGUAUUUCAGCUACGAUAUAGUAGGUGAAAUACAUGUAUAUAGUAAAAUACAUGUAUAUAGUAGGUGAAAUACUUGUAUAUAGUAGGUCAAAUACUUGUAUAUAGUAGAAUACGUGUAUAUAGUAGGUGAAAUACAUGUAUAUAGUAGGUGAAAUACAUGUAAGUAAUAGGUGAAAUACAUGUAUAUAGUAGGUGAAAUACAUGUAUAUGGUAGAAUACGUGUAUAUAGUAGGUGAAAUACUUCGAUAUAGUAGGUGAAAUACAUGUAUAUAGUAGGUGAAAUACAUGUAUAUAGUAGGUGAAAUACUUGUAUAUAGUAGAAUACGUGUAUAUAGUAGGUGAAAUACAUGUAUAUAGUAGGUGAAACACACGUAUUUCAGCUACGAUAUAGUAGGUGAAAUACAUGUAUAUAGUAGGUGAAGUACAUGUAUAUGGUAGAAUACGUGUAUAUAGUAGGUGAAAUACUUGUAUAUAGUAGAAUACGUGUAUAUAGUAGGUGAAAUACUUGUAUAUAGUAGGUGAAAUACAUGUAUAUGGUAAAAUACAUGUAUAUAGUAGGUGAAAUACUUGUAUACCGUAUGUGAAAUACUUGUAUGUAGUAGGUGAAAUACAUGUAUAUAGUAGAAUACGUGUAUAUAGUAGGUGAAAUACAUGUAUAUAGUAGAAUACGUGUAUAUAGUAGGUGAAAUACAUGUAUAUAGUAGGUGAAAUACAUGUAUAUAGUAGAAUACAUGUAUAUAGUAGGUGAAAUACAUGUAUAUAGUAGGUGAAAUACUUGUAUAUUAGGUGAAAUACUUGUAUAUGCAAGCAUUUCACUUGCUAUAUACAAGUAUCUCGUCAGCAAAAACUUCCCCAUAUCAACAGAUACACGUUCUGUAAAGCCGUUUAUGUGGAGUGUCUAGCCUACAAAUCCCUGCGCAGAUUGUAUCUAAAGAAACAGUGACAAUCUACAGCAAUAAUAUAAACCUGUAAUUUGCCUUGUAGCCCGAGCUACUGUCAAAGCUGCGGUUAUAGAAAAUAAAUCUCAACACCUUCCGACCAAUCGGAUUUGAGAUUUCGACAGGGCUAUAAUAAUGUAAUAAUAAUCAGGUUUCGUCGUGUGUCUUAGUAAUGAUAUAUCGACUCAGCCCUAGUUCGGUUUUCCGUUUUCGUUUAAUGCUCUUAGCAUACCAGUGUGGUUCAUUAUAAUGUGCCAUCCAAACACUGUCAUAAAGUUUUUGGCUAUGGAUGGCUCACAGCACUGGGAAGUGAUGUGUAUGUGUGUGUGUGUGUAUGUGUGUGUGUGUGUGUGUUAAUUAGAGGUCGUGCAGGGAGAGAGGCUUGAGAUUCCACACACUCAAGGCCUCUGAAUCAAACAACCUGGUGCUUUUUGGUGGUUUUUUUUGCACUUUCAUGCCAACUGGUAUCAAUCCAGCACCAGUGGAGCAAAAUGCUCAGGACACGGUCUUUAUAAUGAGGUGCAGUUGCA